GAUGAAGAACGCAGCGAAAUGCGAUACUUGGUGUGAAUUGCAGAAUCCCGUGAACCAUCGAGUCUUUGAACGCAAGUUGCGCCCGAAGCCAUCAGGUUGAGGGCACGUCUGCCUGGGCGUCACAUAUCGUUGCCCAAUGCCUAUUGCAGUGCAAUAGGAAUUUCUAGGGCGAAUGAUGGCUUCCCGUGAGCGUUGUUGCCUCGCGGUUGGUUGAAAAUCGAGUCCUUGGUAGGGUGUGCCAUGGUAGAUGGUGGUCGAGUUAGAACGAUACCGAUCAUGUGCAUGCUCCCCAAAAUAUGGCCUCUAUGACCCACACGCAUCUUUUGACGCUCAUGACGAGACCUCAGGUCAGGCGGGGCUACCCGCUGAAUUUAAGCAUAUCAAUAAGCGGAGGAA
rnacentral:misc_RNA from 1 species